UACUUAUUUGGCGAUUGAUAAUAAUUUCAAAUCCUACCAUUGCUAAUAUUAAUUACCAAAGCCAAUUCUUUUCGAAAAGCGUGUUCAAUAAGCGUGCUGAGUAAGCUCUAUAAAAAGCUUUUCCCAUUUUAUAUGGUUUCAAAAUUACCUUAAAUCAACUGGUUAAAGUGUUCAUUUUUUAAAAUGAAGCCGAUUUUUUUUGCUCUGUUAAUAACCUUUUUUGGUUUUACCAUGGGCCUAAAAGAUCCCAUUUGCGGUACGAAAAUAAUAUCUUCUGGGAUCUGUAUGAGGCUGCAUUCAGGCUUUACUUAUUUGGCGAUUGAUAAUAAGUGUAUUCCAGCUUACGCAGGCUGCAUGGGCAGUGGUAACUUUUUCGGUAGCACAGCUGAAUGUGAAGCAAAAUGCAAGAAAUAAGAAAGAACGUGUUACUGACAAGCACAAAUAAAUCAUAUAAUUUUUAUCAGAUAAAAUA